GCCCGGUAGCUAAAUGCGGAAGAGAUAAGUGCUGAAAGCAUCUAAGCACGAAACUUGCCCCGAGAUGAGUUCUCCCUGAGACUAUAAGUCUCCUGAAGGAACGUUAAAGACGAUGACGUUGAUAGGCCGGGUGUGUAAGCGCAGCGAUGCGUUGAGCUAACCGGUACUAAUGAACCGUGAGGCUUAACCUUACAACGCCGAAG
rnacentral:rRNA from 1 species